CUGCUUCUUCUGUUACAACUGCUGCUUCUUCUGUUACAAGCUCAAAGUCAUGGGAAGAUUUCCGAAAGUAUCGCUCCCAGCAUCCAGGCCCUCUAUCUAUGAGGGCCUUCCAUCGCUGGUGUUUGUAUGGGGACGACCAUCCCUCCUUUAGAUGGAGGGAUGGCAAUCCAUACAACACGGGGAAUAGAGCGGAUGCUGGGAGGAGAAGACAACGUGGCUCAAAAGUUGUCAAUAAUUUUUUUUACAUUUUAAAAUGUAAAGAAAUUGACAACUUUUGAGCCACUUCAUUUUUUUUUUGUAAUAUAUUUUUGUAAAUUUAUUUUUGUGUUGUUUUUUAAUUUUUCCCAUGAAUGUUAAAUGUUAUCAAAGUAAAUCAUUUAAAUAAAGACACCUUUAUCAACAAUGCUCAUUAACUAGAAAUAAAAGUCACGGUCAUUCAUUUGAUAAAGUUAAUGUUAAUCUCAAAGGGAUUUGGUUUUCACACAAUCAAAUUCUAUGUAGCACCUUCCAGAACUAAGAAUAUAAGUGUGUGGUGUUAGUAGUUUAAAAUAUGUAUAAUAAACUCAGAAUAACUCAAUAACCCUCAACAAAACUAUGAACUAAUUUUGAAAUUCAAGUUGAGCUUUUUUAUUUAUUAAUACCUCCCCUCCCAAUAACUCUAAUUUUCCUUAAAAAACUAAUUUUUUUGUCCUUUGAAGGUGGUUCUGCUAUUUAAUUAAUUGUUGUGAUGUUUUAUGCAAAUAGAUUUAGCUCACAUUCAUGUUGGUCUGUCAGGAUAAUGUAAAAAUAAAAAAGUAAGUUUCUUAUUCGCAUUUUUGAGUUUUCAAAAGUAUUGAUUGCAUG